rnacentral:rRNA from 1 species
CCGGGUUGAUCCUGCCAGUGGCAUAUGGUUGUCUCAAAGAUUGAGCCAUACAUGUGUAGGUACACACAGCUGGUUCAGUGACACUGUAAAUGGCUCAUUGAAUUAGUGAUGGUUCCUUUGAUGGCUUCCACUGUUACUUGGAUUACUGUGGAAAAUCUAAAGCGAAUGCAUGCCAACACACUAUAACCUCCCUGAAUGCAUGCAUUUAUCAGACCAAGACCAAUCUGGCCUCGCACGGCCGCUUUGGUGACUUUAGCUAUACUUGGUCAGAUUGAACAUCCCUGUGACAGCAUCAAUACAUUCUGAUGUCUGCCCUAUCAACUUCUGUUGGUACUUCCUCUGCCUACCAUGGUGAUCACAGGUAAGGGGUAAUCAGGUUUAAAUUCCUGAGAAACGGCUACCACAACCAGGGAAGGCAUCAGGUGCGCAAACUACCCACUCCCGAUUCGGGGAGGUAGUGACAGAAAUUAAUGAUACAGGAUUCUUUUGAGGCCCUGUAUUUGGAAUGUGUACACUUUGAAUACUUUAAGGAGGAUUUGUUGGCGGGCAAAUCUGGUGUCAGCAGCUGUAGUAACUCCAGCUCCAAUUAGCAAAUGUUAAAGUUGCUGCACUUAAAAGCUUGUAGUUGGAUCUUGUGAUUGAGCUGGUUGUCUGGUGUCGGUGCCCUAAUGCCUGUACUAGCACCUGCCUCUCAGCACCCCCUGGAUGCUCUUGAUUUAGUGUCCUACGGGUCUGAAGCGUUCACUUUGAAACAAAGCAGGCCGUCGCCUGGAUACUUCAGUUAUGGAAUGAUGGAAUAGGACUACAGUUCCAUUUUGUUUGUUUUCAGGACUGGGGCCAUGUGAUUAUGAGGGAUGGUCGGAAGCAUUUGUAUCGUGCUGCUAGAUGUGAUAUUCUUGGACCUUUGUACUUCGAACAUAAACGAUACAAACAAGCGAUCCAGUGUGUUAUUCCCAUGACCUGUCAAGCAGCUUCCGGAAAACCAAAGUCUUUGAGUUCCAGGGGAGUAUGGUUGCAAAGCUGGAACUGAAAGGAAUUGACAGAAGGGCACCACCAGGAGUGGAGCCCGGGGCUUAAUUUGACACAACACAGGAAACCUCACUCGUCCCGGACACGGAAAGGAUUGACAGAUUAAUAGCUCUUUCUCGUUUCAGUGGGGGCUUGUGCAUGGCCGUUCUUAGUUGGUGUAGUGACUUUUCUGAUUAAUUCUGAUAACGAACAAGACUCUUUCUAUGCCAAUUUGUUACGAAAACCACAGCGGUCGGCGUUCAACGUAUUAUUAUUAUUAUUAUUAUGUAUGUAUGGCUUUACAAAGGUAUACAACAAUACAGAUACACAAUAGAGCGCUUUACAGAGGUAUAGAAGAGUACACAAAUGCAUAACAGAGCACUUCUUAGAGGGACAAGUGGCAUUCAGCCACACAAGAUCAAGCAAUAACAGGUCUGUGAUGCCCUAAGAGGACCAGGGAUACACGUGCGCUACACUGAAUGGAUCAGCGUGUGUCUACCCUUCUCCGAAAAGUGCGGUUAACCUGCUGAACCUCGUUCAUGAGAGGGAUUGGGGAUUGCAAUUAUUUCCCAUGAACGAGGAGUACCCAGUUAGUGUGGAUCAUUGGCUCUCGUUGAUUAAAUCGCUGCACUUUGUACACACCAUCCAUUGUUACUACCGAUUGGAUGUUUAAGUGAGAUCCUCGGAUCGGCCCUGUCGGGGUUGGCAACGGCCCUGGCAGAUAACUGAGAAGCCAAUCAACCCUGACUAUCUAGAGGAACUAUGAGUCGUAACAAGGCUUCCGUAGGUGAACUUGCAGAAG